rnacentral:tRNA from 1 species
GCCUUUGUGGUGUAGUGGUCAGCACGCUUGACACGUACUCGAGAGGUCCGAGGUUCGAUUCCCGGCGAAGGCG